GAGGGUAUAGCUCUGUGGUAGAGUGCAUGCUUAGCAUGCAUGAGGUCCUGGGUUCAAUCCCCAGUACCUACA
rnacentral:tRNA from 1 species